AGGUCAUUUUGAGGACAGUUUCUUAGUAACCCUUUAUAACACUACCAUGCCACAUAAUGCGACUCACCUGGUUGUUGCUCAAAUUUGGCUAUUACCUUCUUAAGUUU